CGCCUCUUGCCCCCAAAGUAUAAGAGGUCCUGCCUGCCCAGUGACCACAGGUUUAACGGCCGCGGUAUUUUAACCGUGCUAAGGUAGCGCAAUCACUUGUUCCUUAAAUAGGGACCUGUAUGAAUGGCAAGACGAGGGCUAGACUGUCUCUUUUUUCCAGUCAAUGAAAUUGAUCUCCCCGUGCAGAAGCGGGGAUCCCCCCAUAAGACGAGAAGACCCUAUGGAGCUUUAGACGUAAGAGGCAGCCCUUGUAAAGUCCCUAAAAUAAAAGACCAAACUAACAGGACCCUGCCUCCAUGUCUUCGGUUGGGGCGACCGCGGGGACAAAAAUAACCCCCACGUGGACCGAGAAGACUAGCUUCUUAAACCUAAGAGCCACUGCUCAAACCCACAGAACUUCUGACCAAAAGAUCCGGCAAGACCGAUCAACGGACCGAGUUACCCUAGGGAUAACAGCGCAAUCCUCUCCUAGAGGCCAUAUCGACAAGAGGGUUUACGACCUCGAUGUUGGAUCAGGACAUCCUAAUGGUGCAGCCGCUAUUAAGGGUUCGUUUGUUCAACGAUUAAAGUCCU
rnacentral:rRNA from 1 species